rnacentral:rRNA from 1 species
AUUGAACGCUGGCGGCAGGCCUAACACAUGCAAGUCGAACGAGUGGCGGACGGGUGAGUAAUGUCUGGGAAACUGCCCGUUGGAGGGGGGUAACUACUGGAAACUGUAGCUAAUACCGCAUACCAUCGGAUGUGCCCAGAUGGGAUUAGCUAGUAGGUGGGGUAACGGCUCACCAAGGCGACGAUCCCUAGCUGGUCUGAGAGGAUGACCAGCAACACUGGAACGGAGACACGGUCCAGACUCCUACGGGAGGCAGCAGUGGGGAAUAUUGGACAAUGGGCGCAAGCCUGAUGCAGCCAUGCCGCGUGUAUGAAGAAGGCCUUCGGGUUGUAAAGCGCUUGUGGUGAGAAGGCGUUACCCGCAGAAGAAGCACCGGCUAACUCCGUGCCAGAAGCCGAGGUAAUAC